rnacentral:rRNA from 1 species
CACACAAUAAACAUAAGAUUAAAAGUAAUUCAAGCUCUAUUAUUUUUAAUUUUAGUUUCAUUGGACUCUUUCGAGGAUAAGCUCGAAAGUUGUUGUUGAGAACCAUAUUAUUUUAAAUCGUUGUGUGGGCCUAAAAUUAGCCAUUACAAAAGUUUGUUAUAAAAUAACGGAGCGUGGAACUAAAAAUAUUACUAUAUGUAUAUUCCCUAAAAACUUAUAAGAACAAUAACCUUAACUAAAAGAUUAAUAUGCCUAUGCUAGGAUGAGUAUUAUAAAGUGUUUAUAUAUUGAAUAAAUCAAUAUUCCUACAAAGAUAUUUUUUAAAAAAAUUAAGGAAAAGGAACUCGGCAAAUAUUGUUUCGCCUGUUUAUCAAAAACAUGGCUCUUUGAGAAAGACACAUAAAGAGUCGAACCUGCCCAGUGAAAUUUUUUAAACGGCCGCGGUACCCUGACCGUGCAAAGGUAGCAUAAUCAUUUGCCUUAUAAUUGAAGGCUGGCAUGAAUGGUCUGACGAAAGCAAUACUGUCUCUUCCUUAUUUUCUAGAAAUUAACCUGUAAGUGAAGAGGCUUACAUUAAAUUGAAGGACAAGAAGACCCUGUCGAGCUUAAAAACAAAGUAGAUGUUAUUUAUUUAAAAAAAUCAAUAAGCUAUAUUUAUACUUUUUUAGUUGGGGCGACGAAGGAACAAGCAAAGCUUCUUUUAUUUUUGUAAAUCUAUAGAUUUAGAUCCAGCAAAGCUGAUCAAAAGAAUUAGUUACCGCAGGGAUAACAGCAUAAUCUCCUUCAAGAGACCUAAUCGAAAAGGGGGGUUGUGACCUCGAUGUUGGACUAGAAUAUCCUGGAGAUGCAGACGUCU